ensembl:lncRNA
GUAAGGAGUAAGCCUCGCCCUUCUCUCCAGGAAGCCCGGUUAAAGGGAGUAGGCGUCCUUUGUUUGCAUAAAUGUCGUUUGCACAAUCAGAAAGCAGGAGCUAAGCCUUCGCCAGCCAAAGUACUCGCCCUCCCUGGACUGGCAACACAGGGACAUAGACACGUUAGUUUAGGGAUUAAAGGAGAGAGUCCCUGGCCGGGAGGAAGCAAUGAAGCCUCAGAGUUUGGGACUGGAAGGUCUGUCCCUUCCAGGGGCCCAGCUGCAUGGACCUUGGGUGAGGAAACUGAGGCACAGAAAGGUUGGGAGAUGUGCCUUAAACACCUGUUCCACCUCCCUUGUCCUCUCUGAAACUGAGGCCGAAUCACUGCAGCCCAGGACCAGAGUCCAGAUGGACCCUGCAGCUGGCUCAGCACAGGUCCAUGGAAGGGAGGAGAGAUGGAGAACAAUGGCCCAGUCAGAGACCGUUCCAGCCACCAGCCACCAUACUGAUACUUGGAUGGCUGGUGCCAGUGGGCUGGUCUCCCCUGGGUCUGAAAGGAUGCAGAAGAGCCGUCCAGCUGGCUGGUCUGGACUUGGCCGAAACUUUGACACGGUUUAGGAGACAAGAAAGGCCCUGGAGUCCUGACUCACCUGGUCCACACCUCAUGUCAUGAUUACUCAGCUCUGGAAGCUUCCAUGCCCCUGGG